GAUCAUGGCUCAGGAUGAACGCUGGCGGCGUGCUUAACACAUGCAAGUCGAACGAGAGAGGAUCGGUGCUUGCACUGAUCCAAUCGAGUGGCGGACGGGUGAGUAACGCGUGGGUAACCUGCCUCAUACAGGGGAAUAACAGUUGGAAACGGCUGCUAAAACCGCAUAAGCGCACAGUAUCGCAUGAUACAGUGUGAAAAACUCCGGUGGUAUGAGAUGGACCCGCG
rnacentral:rRNA from 1 species